rnacentral:rRNA from 1 species
GCUAUUCGGUCGUGGUCAUCGAGGGUGAUUUCCUCCUUAACCACUUCCGAUACGGCUCUGUCGUGCAACCCCUCAAGUGUGAACCUCGAGGGUGGAUCCUCUUACGUUCACCUUGAUGAUUACAUCGAGUGGAAUUCAUCGGGGGUGAUUCCUCGGGUUUUCCCCUUAAUGUUUGGACACACGGAUACUUGGACUUUACCACUGUUAC